GUAGAGAAAACCGAAAUUAGUUGAUGUGAUUUGAUGUUAAUUCUUUUUAUUGACAGUUCAUUACAAUGAUGUUUUACUUUUGUUUUAUUUUGGAUUUGAAGUUUAAUUUAUUAUUCACAUUAAACAUAAAUAUUUAUGAAUUUUAUUCUUGAUUUUUUAGAUGUCAUAACUCUUAAUUAGGGCAUGACUGGUGUAACCGCAGCGGUUGCGGUUGUGGUUGCGGGAGUUUGCGGGUGCGGGUGGUUGCGGUUUUAAGUAUUUUCUAGAGAUUUGUACGACUGGUACAGCUGUUAGAAAUUGUUGCGUUUGCGGGACUCUUAUGACUGGUAAACUACCAAACGCAACAUCUGUUAAAUAAUAAUUUAACAAUAAUUACAUUUUAUGUAAUUAUAAAAAUAUUAAAAAUCAUAAUAAUAUGAUAAAUAUAAAAUCUAUAUUUAUAAAAUCAUAUUAUUCAAUUUUAAGAAUUUAUAGAAAUAUUUUAGUUUUGAUUUUUUAUAAUAUAAAUUGAAAUAUAAUAUGAAUACAUUUUACAAUUUCUAUUAUUUCAAUUGAAAAUUUUUAUUGGAUAUUUUUAGUAUUAUUUUUAUUUAUUCUGUUUUUAAAGAAAAAAAAUUUACCCUCCCGCAACCGCCCGCAACCGCAAACGCUAGCUGGAACCAACUUUUGAUUUUAAGAGGUUCAGAGCGGUUUGAAGCGAUUUGUAGCGUUUUCAGUGAUUGUUUCAAAACGCCAACAACCGCUAUGAACCGCAAAAGCUGCGUUUGCGGGUGGUAGCGGAAAAACCAGUCAGCCUCUUAGUUAUAAUUUUUUAAAAUAGUCUAAGCUAUUUCUUUGAUAUUUUGUAUGUCAAAUGAAAAUGAAAAUAUAAAAAGUAAAGUUAAAUAUUUUAGUAAACAUAAAAUAUAUACAUAUCUAAACUAUUAUUUUAUGUUUUAAAAAAUAUUUAGAAAAUAUUAACUUUAGUUUCUAUAUUUUUAUUUUCAUAACUAAUAUAUAUUAUUAUAUAAUAAAAUUAAUUUAUUUAUUAAUCCAUGGUUCAUCCGCGGUCGAUCCAAUGAUCUAGUGAUCUGGUAAGUAGUCCGGUUCAAUAUCUGGAUCGGUUUUCAAAACAUUAAAUAUAGUAUGUUGAUAAUAUCUUUAAAAUUGAAAGAGUAAUUUGACGAUGAUUCUCAUGGAUAUAAAAGAGACAGAAGAAACACACUUCUUGAAGAACAAAACAGACACACAGAGAUAGUUCAAGAAAGGUUGCCGACACUUUACAUCUUGCCCAAGUAUUCACCAAAUCCACAAUCAUUUCACUGUUUGGCCAUAAAUUCUUAUAUUCAAUAAUGCAAAAUAUUUCAAAGAGAAAACAAAGUUUCAACUACCUGUGUGAUUAGUCGUGCCUCAAUUAUUUAUUUUCUAUUUGUUCUUGUCUUUGUUAAUUUUUUUUCUUCGUUUACGUCUCUAAAGAAACGUAAAGCUUUAUCCAAAUCUUUAUAUAUAAGGAAAGGUUGGAUCCCUCCUGCUGACACGUCAGCAUCCAGCUAGAUAAUUAGCUCUUUCUCGCGUCAACACGUGGCAUCUCUGUAUGAAACUCGGCGUUUCAUUAAACCAGAAGUCGUGUUGGGCUUUGUGUGUUUUGUGUAUUGUGAUAUAUUUGGUCAGGGGCUUUCCGUGUGUAUUGCCUAAUGGACUCAAGCUUUUGUCACUUUCUCCUCUCCUCUAACCCUAACUGCACGUUUUUUUUCUUCACUUUGACUCUACGGCGGCGUCGUCUGAGCUCCCUCUCCAUUCCUGAAACGUCCGACGUUGAAACUUCAUGUUUAAUCCAAUUGAUUCCACCGUCCACUACGAUGUAUUCAAUGCGCAUGUCGUUGCUCCUAAGCGAUGUGUAAUCUUUUGCUAUAAAUAUGGAGUUCUCCUCAUCUCGAAUUCAUCAUAUCUUUCUAUUUCUUUUGCUAAAUAAAAUCGUGUUCUUAUGGCUAAUACAAGAUUUUUUUUCUCAGAUUUGAGGUCCGGCCUAUGCACCUCCGUCGUCGAGGCGAGAAACAUCAAGUGGGUGGAAAUGCUACUGGUUGACGUAAAUGCCACUAUAAUGCAAGUGACCAUCUACGUUAACCGGCUUCCAACAUUCCAGCGUAAACUUGCCGCCGGGACGAUGUAAACCAUCUCCUGAAGAAGGCUUCCGGUUCUAUAAUCAAACAGAGCUGGUUGGAUUGGCUAACACAAAUACACAGACAUCAUUGGUGAGAUCACUGCGGUUAAGAGUAUUGUAACAGAGCCGCCGAAGAUAAUAACCGUGUUAUGGUGACGAUCAAACUGGAAGGUGAUGUGGCUGUUACACUUAGCCUGUUUGACGCUCAGGCUGUUUCCUUUCACAAAAAACUGGAAGACAUGACUCAUGAUCCAAAGGUGAUUGUUGCCACUAGCAUAAAUCCAAAGAUGGUUGGAGGUCAUUUGUUCCUCAAUGCAACAUCAGGAACCCAUGUUUAUUUUGACAAAGAAACGAAUGCAGGAGAAUCCUGUUUCUACAAGGACACUUGACUUCCGUCUGCCGCACCCCUUCUAAAGAGAUAUGCAAAGGUUGAGCCUGUGACAAUUGUUGAGCUCAACAAUUUUGUCAUCACUGCUCCCUCACAGGAGAUUGACUUCCUAUGCAGUGGGAGAGUUUCACGCCAGAUGGGAUGUCAGUUCGUGAAACAUUGCAUCCGGAAAGGACAGUGGUGAGGCAUCAGAGAAUGUUGGAAAGGAGCCAGUCGGGAGCAGUAGGGAGACAUCAGAGAAUGCUGGAAAGGAGCCAGUUGGUGAUGCACAGUAUACGGCUUCCACGUCUUCUGAGUGGUCAAGAAGGGACGUGUUGCUUAAGAUUGAGCAUCAGUAGUUAUGUUUUGAUGCUAUGAGCUUUAAUAACGUUAAUUUAUGCAUUUCAUUCCGUCUCGCGUUUCGCGUUUAAGCUUUCUACAAGGGUUUUUUUCCUAAGAUUUUUAAAAAAUAUUACUGUCUUUAAUUGGUUGGAGACAAGUUUUUAAAUAUUAGUUUUUUUUUAUAUGUUGACAAUCUUCGUAUUAUAACUCUUUGUCUACUAUUCAGUUUGCUAAUCUAAAAACCAAAAAAAAAUACUAUCACGAUAAAAACAUUAAGUUUAUACAACUUUAUGGAGUUUAUUAGUUGACCAUUAGUUAACGAUUUUAUAGUUUAUAUGUAAUAGGACUGUAUUUUGCAGUUCACAUGUUUUAUUUUAAAGGUAAUAUUCUGAAUUUCAUGUUACAGAUAAGAUAUUAAUUCCGUCAAGGGACUCACUAAUGUUUUGAAUUUCAGCAAUGAAGAGUCUUCUUCUCCAGCAAAAAAGAAGCUUACAAAAGAAAGAAAAUGAUCCAGGUUGUUUAAACGUUUCUGUGGUAGUUUGUUUGUUUGUUUUUGUCGUCGGUAAUUUGUUUAAAAGGUUUAUCAUUUAGUUUGGUUUUUGUCGUAUUUUUCAUUUGUAAAAUUUUGAAAGUUCAUGAAGAAUAGCCAUAAAUUAUCAAACACCAAACACAUAAAAAUAAAAAUCUAAAUCCCCAUGCCUCCAUGAUCAAAUUAUGAUAACAUAAUAUACAUCAAAAUAUAGAGCUGAUGUAGCAUUCAUCG